UUAAUAAGCGGAGGAAGAGAAACUAACAAGGAUUCCCUCAGUAACGGCGAGUGAAGCGGGAAGAGCUCAAAUUUGAAAUCUCCGAUGCCUGCAUCGGCGAGUUGUAGUUGCGAGAAGCACUUUCUAGGUGGAUCGGCGGUGCCUAAGUUGCUUGGAACAGCACGUCGCAGAGGGUGACAACCCCGUCUGUGGCGCCGCCGGCCGCCGACGAUGUGCUUUCCAAGAGUCGGGUUGUUUGGGAAUGCAGCCCAAAACGGGUGGUAAACUCCAUCUAAAGCUAAAUACUGGCGUGAGACCGAUAGCGA
rnacentral:rRNA from 1 species